UACGAGGGGGGCAAGCGUUGUUCGGAUUUAUUGGGCGUAAAGGGUGCGUAGGCGGCGCGGUAAGUCGGAUGUGAAAUCUCGGGGCUUAACUCCGAAACUGCAUUCGAUACUGCCGUGCUUGAGGACUGGAGAGGAGACUGGAAUUUACGGUGUAGCGGUGAAAUGCGUAGAUAUCGUAAGGAAGACCAGUGGCGAAGGCGGGUCUCGUGGACAGUUCCUGACGCUGAUGCGCGAAAGCCAGGGGAGCGAACGGG
rnacentral:rRNA from 1 species